rnacentral:misc_RNA from 1 species
CAGAGUUGCAAGACUCCCUAAACCAUUGUGAACCUACCUUCUACCGUUGCUUCGGCGGGCGGGCCCAGCGCCCCCCCCGGCCCCGCGCGGGCGCCCGCCGGAGGAUACCCAAACUCUUGACAUUAGUGGCCUCUCUGAGUAUUCUUUACUGAAUAAGUCA